AGGACGAACGCUGGCGGCGUGCUUAACACAUGCAAGUCGAGCGGAAAGGCCCUUCGGGGUACUCGAGCGGCGAACGGGUGAGUAACACGUGAGCAACCUGCCCCUGGCUCUGGGAUAGCCUCCGGAAAACGGGGAUUAAUACCGGACAUGACCCUUGACCGCAUGGUUGGGGUGGAAAGUUUUUCGGCCAGGGUGGGCUCGCGGCCUAUCAGCUUGGUGGGGGGUGACGGCCCACAAGGCGACGACGGGUAG
rnacentral:rRNA from 1 species